AACGCACAUUGCGCCCGCCAGUAUUCUGGCGGGCAUGCCUGUUCGAGCGUCAUUUUCAACCCUCAAGCCCCCCCUCCCCCCUAGGGGGAGGAUGCUUGGUGUUGGGGGCCGGCGACCUCGCUGCUCUGGCAGCGUGCGCCGCCCCCGAAACGAAUCGGCGGACUCGCCGCGGCCUCCUCUGCGUAGUAGUGUCACAACCUCGCAGCAGGAGCGCGGCGUGCCCACUGCCGUAAAAAGACGCCCCCCCGGGGCUGUUUCUAAAGUUGACCUCGAAUCAGGUAGGAAUACCCGCUGAACUUAA
rnacentral:misc_RNA from 1 species